GUAGGGAAUAUUGGGCAAUGGUCGAGAGACUGACCCAGCCAUGCCGCGUGCAGGAAGACGGCCUUAUGGGUUGUAAACUGCUUUUGUACCGGGGUAACGGCGGGCUCGUGCAGCCUGAUUGAAAGUACGGUACGAAUAAGGAUCGGCUAACUCCGUGCCAGCAGCCGCGGUAAUACGGAGGAUCCAAGCGUUAUCCGGAUUUAUUGGGUUUAAAGGGUGCGCAGGCGGAUAGGUAAGUCAGCGGUGAAAUUUCUCGGCUCAACUGAGAGACUGCCAUUGAUACUGCUUGUCUAGAUUAUAGAUGGCGUAGGCGGAAUAUGUCAAGUAGCGGUGAAAUGCGUAGAUAUGACAUAGAACACCGAUCGGGAAGCCAGCUUACGAAACUAUGAAUGACGCUCAUGCACGAAAGCGUGGGGAUCAAACAGGAUUAGAAACCCUAGUAGUCC
rnacentral:rRNA from 1 species